GUCUGUGUGUAGCGCGGGCGGAUCUCCUGCAAGAAGUGCUCGAAAUCCUUCUCGGCAACAUGUGUGACCCUGAAAUCUUCUACUCGGACUGGUAUUCCAUAUGGUGUCCUUCCAGGCCGGUCUUGCUGAAUGCCUUCACCAAACAACAUCUAAUUGCAUAACAACAUCAGAAAAGCCUGAAGGUGCGUGGAUAAAUGGUACUACAUGAGUUUGUACGAAAGGCCCUGUGGGAAUAUGGAAAUCAGCAGAGCUUGUUACAGCUGCGCCUAUCAAUUGUAAUUUCUAGAUAUGCCCAGAAAUUUGUACUAGUUCGUAGCAGUCGACUGUAAUUUCUAGUCAGGCCUAGUUCUGAAAAUAUGCAAUGUGGCAGCCAUAAGAUGCGAAAACAGAGACACACAAGAUAAACAUGUUUUGUUGCCCUGGCUGGCGAAAAUGCCUUUAUGUA